AUCGACUGGUUUCUUCGUAGAUGAACAAAGGAGUUUUAGGUUGACUUAGUUCGAUUUUGGCCCUAGGCUCCUUUGUUCAUUUCCGAAGAAGCCAGCGGAUGACUUAAGCCAGCCAGAUAAGCGCUUUAUGUGUUCCCACCUUUAGUGUGAUUUGACUUGUUCAGUCCUGCUCUAGAGUAACGAGCUGUGCCCACACGGGCCAAAAUAUAAUAAUAUAAUAUGUCGGUGAAAAUUUUUUAAUCACAAUACGGGGCACCUCAAAUAGAUGCUAUAUGUGUACGAGUACGUAUCUAGCAGAAAAAAUCUUCCAACUAAACAAAGCGCCGCCAUAAAGCCAGGCAUGUGACACAUAGCACCCAAACGACCUAACCUAGUCCCUAAUCGGAUGGCUCUGUAUUAAUCAUCCAUUCAUACACAACUGGAGUGGAAAGUUUCUUUUUGUUGCCUUCGUCUUGUGCUGCUGGGAGAAAAAGCAGGCCGCUGCCAAGUUGCAGAGAUUCGAAGAAGUAAACAACAACAACGGCUGUUUUCAUCGGAACGGAAAGGAAUUUCUUGUUGGACUUUAUCUCUGUUUCGGCGUUUUUUAUGGCUGUCUGUCUAUCGGUCUGUUGGUCGGUUGAUUAUUUGUUUCAACGUUGGUUCGUUCACUCGCUUCCUUUUUUUUUUGGCCGCGUUGUUGUCGUGCGCCUUUUGUUUGGAUGGUAAAUGCGAAUGACGACAAUGGCGAUGACUUACUUCCCCCCCCUAGCUUGAUCGCAUUAAACUAAAAAUUGUAUUUUGUUUACAUACCAGAAAAUAAAC